UACGUAGGGAGCAAGCGUUAUCCGGAAUUAUUGGGUGUAAAGGGUGCGUAGACGGGAAAUUAAGUUAGUUGUGAAAUCCCUCGGCUCAACUGAGGAACUGCAACUAAAACUGAUUUUCUUGAGUGCAGGAGAGGAAAGUGGAAUUCCUAGUGUAGCGGUGAAAUGCGUAGAUAUUAGGAGGAACACCAGUGGCGAAGGCGACUUUCUGGACUGUAACUGACGUUGAGGCACGAAAGUGUGGGGAGCAAACAGG
rnacentral:rRNA from 1 species